UACGUACGAGGCGAGCGUUAUCCGGAAUUAUUGGGCGUAAAGCGCGCGCAGGCGGAUCGGCAAGUUGGGCGUGAAAUCUCCCGGCCUAACUGGGAGGGGUCGCCCAAGACUGUCGGUCUUGAGGACAGCAGAGGUAGGUGGAAUUCCUGGUGUAGUGGUGAAAUACGUAGAGAUCAGGAGGAACACCGGUGGCGAAGGCGGCCUACUGGGCUGUCACUGACGCUGAGGCGCGAAAGCUCGGGGAGCGAACGGG
rnacentral:rRNA from 1 species